AGAAACAGACUCAAUGGUGCUUGAGUGGGAUGGGUGAGGUCUAGUGAACGGAGCCCAGGAUCCAUGUAAAUCCUCAGUGAACACUUUCUUACAGGAGAUUAGGCAGCUGGUAAAACAUGAAGGCCUGGUCGAGGGAAACAGCAAAUGAAUGGAGCAUUCAAGUAUUGAUCUAUGGCCCCUGUUCCUCAGCAUACGUGUGGAUGCCCUCUGUACAUGCACUCUUUGGGACCUCAGUAAAUGGAAGUAUAUUUGUAUCAGUUCACCAUGCUCCCAGUUCUCCAGGCUUGCUCUUGCUAGGUCACAGCAAACUACCUUCUUCUCUCACACUCCAUAUAGGGUUGAUCUCUAAGUUUGCCUAGUCUCUCUCCUCUUCCCAUCUUGGUAUGUCUGAAUGUUGCAAAAUCCCUUAUUCAAGCUGUCUACCUUAAGGCCUCCACUCCAAGCAGACAUGUCCAGCCCAUGGCCUCCAGGUUAAAUCCUCUUAAUGCAACAUGUUCACAUUUGUACUCUUGGACUCCUAAUUUUCGAUAGUAUUCUCCUAGUUUCUCCAGAAUAUGAAUUUAUUAUUCUUAUCGAAGUUUACCUUUCAUUUUCCUCAGUAUAAAUGGCCAAUUCUGUUCAACCUGGUCACAAACAUUCUGCUAAAAUCAAUGUAUCUGUUGCUGUGAAAAAUCUUCAAAAGUUUUCAUACAAAACAUGAUUCUAUCACAAAGACUUGAUACUCUCUUAUAUUAGGUUGGUGCAAAAGUAAUUGCCAUCAUCACAUGGAAAAGAAGAGAGACUGGGUAUUUUAAAAUAUUAUUUAAUUUUUUUUUCUUGCAGAUUAAAAAAAAUUCAGAACACUUGAGGGAUGUUCUAAAGGGCUGUGGGAGUACUUGUAUGAAUCCUAGCUGUCUGAAAACAGCUUGGGCUAUUGUUCAAAGAUCAUGUUGCCUGACAUGGAUUGCAGAAGCUGAAGUUUUAUGAUGUCUUGCGGGGCUUUGGAAGGGGCACUAGAGUACUAGAGGGGAGACUGGAAUUCCAGAGUUUUAAGUCCUUCCUCAACUCCUGAGUUCACCAUUAUCAGCAUUGUUAAUGUGUCUUUCACUUUCAUGGUUGUGCCCAAUACUGAAAGAAGCAUAUAAUAAUAGUUUAAAACUAUUGACUGAUACUAGGUACUCAAUACAAUUUCAGUUGAAUGAAUGGCUAUUACUCUGUAUAAAAUAAAA
rnacentral:lncRNA from 1 species